rnacentral:rRNA from 1 species
GCCUAACGGCUGAACCAGCAAUUUGAAGGAAUAUAGGUUCAAGAAAGUAAAUAAGAACCCUGUUCAUGAUAGGAUAAUGAUAAUGACAAUUUCCUAUUUAUAGUCUUGACCAAAUCACGUGCCAGCAGUCGCGGUAAGACGUGAAAGACAAGUGUUAUUCAUCUUUAAUAGGUUUAAAGGGUACCUAGACGGCAAAUCUUGCCUUUAAGGGGGACAGAUUUGCUAGAGUUUUAUGUGAGAAGGGGAGAAUUAGAGGAGGAGAGAUGAAAUUCGAUGAUACCUUUAGGACUGGUAAUGGCGUAGGCAACCUUUUAUGUAAAAACUGACGUUGAGGGACGAAGGCUUUGGUAAUAAACAGGAUUAGAUACCCCAGUAGUCUUGGCAGAAAAUGCUGAAUGCCAUAGGUUAUACGUUUAUGGCCUAUAAAUGAAAGUGUAAGCAUUCCACCUCAAGAGUAAUGUGGCAACGCAGAAACUGAAAUCAUUAGACCGUUUCUGAAACCAGUAGUGAAGUAUGUUAUUUAAUUCGAUGAUCCACGAAAAACCUUACCACAACUUGAAUAUAGAGUGUGUAAUGGUUUAGUUUAAAUGUACUAAAUAGUUGAUAAGUCUAGGCUUAUCACCCGCUCUAUACAAGCGUUGCACGGCUGUCUUCAGUUAAUGUCGUGAGAUUUUGGUUAGUUCCAUUUAAUUGACGUAAACCCUUACUUUAUUUACACAAGCCAUUAGGCCACCAAUAUAUAAAGUUGUACGCAGAUACAAUUGAUAUGAUAAAAGGGACUAAGACAAGUCAUCAUGACCUGAAUGU